CAACGAAUCUUCCCCAAUGGGCGAAAGCCUGAGGGAGCGACGCCGCGUGAAGGAUGAAGUACUUCGGUAUGUAAACUUCUGUUAGGGUUAUGAAAGCGUAAGGACCUAAUACGUCCUGAGUUGAUCUGAUCCAGAGAAAGGGACGGCUAACUCUGUGCCAGCAGCCGCGGUAAUACAGAGGUCCCAAGCGUUACUGAGAAUCACUGGGUUUAAAGGGUGCGUAGGUGGUCCGUUAAGUUCGUUGUGAAAUCCCUGGGCUCAACCCAGGAACUGCUUCGAAUACUGGCGGACUUGAGGCCGGUAAAGGUCACUGGAACAGAUGGUGGAGCGGUGAAAUGCGUAGAUAUCAUCUGGAACGCCGGUGGUGAAGACGGGUGACUGGGCCGGUUCUGACACUGAGGCACGAAAGCAUGGGUAGCGAACG
rnacentral:rRNA from 1 species